rnacentral:sRNA from 1 species
UUUUUGCGUUAAGGAUAGCAGCGAUAUCCUUUUUGCGCUUUUUGCAAAAAGAUUUAGCGCAUAGCCUGACCCUUU